ACUCAAGUAGUAUGGUGGUUAGUACAUACUCUACGUUGUAGCCGUGGUAACACAGGUUCGAUUCUUGUCUUGGGCC
rnacentral:tRNA from 1 species